AGUGACAGCAGCUUGUUAAGGCUAAUGAACGGCUGAAUUUCCUCUGCCGGGAUCCAAAGCAGGAUUUGCCAGCUUGAGGCUGAGAUGUAACAGUCUCUGCUUUAGCAAAAGAGGUUUGGCUUUUGGUAUAAGGAGCCGAGUGGCAAGGCGGAUCCUUUAACUGUACCAUUGUUGCUAGUUCACUUCUGGUCAGAGGCUGUGAGUUUUCCUCCAGGUAUUGGCGUCUGGUGUCUCUGUGUCCACACAUGCAUUCUUGUCCAAGGACGCUAGCAGAUGCUUGACUCUGUCUCUCUGUAAACACAUACACAGUUCACAUAUUUUUAGAAUAAAGUCUUUCUUCAAUGCAUCCUUUUCCUUAUCCUUAACGAGAGUGUGUCUCAUGAAGGGUCUCACUGGAUCUUUUUCUUCCUUUUAUUUCCAAUGCUAAUUAAACCAAAAUCUUCUGAAAUAGCCUUCAUUUCACACUGUCAGCCCACUGGCCUGGGCUGCCAGGUGCUAUAUCAGCCAGGAAAACAAAGCAAACUGUAGGGUCUGUCCAUCCGUAGGUUUGCCUCAGUCCCCAAUUCGCAGAUAGCCUUGUCAUGAAUUAGAAUUUCUUGGCAACAGCACCACCCAGGGAAAUUUGUAGACACAAAGGAGCCUUGCUAGCCACACUGAAAGGAUAAAAUAACUGUUUUUUUUUGUAUUGUGCAAUGGGCUUUUAAUUAUCUUUGCUGGACCCCACGACUGGCAAAUGCAGAAAAUCGCUCUGUGAUUCCAGUUCACUCGAUAUAUCAGUUAGCCUAUGUGUUAGAACUGCGAUUUGCUGAAAGUUUAGGACAGCUCCCCAACUUAACUUGAAUGGUGCCAGAGGGGCAGAUGAGUAUACAAUGUGAAUACACAUAUCCAUAAUGGCCAGGAAACAGUGCCCAUGUCUGUGCCAUUCGGAAAUGAUUAGAGGUUUGACAUUCUAGUCAUUCCUUUUUCCUCUUCCUCCCUCUCCCCUUCCUGAUUUUCUUUGUCCAAGUUCCACCCAUUCCUUAACUUUCAAAUGGGUGCCAAACUCCCUCCCUUGCUACCAGCCAACUGUAACUGCUAUGAUUUCCAUACUCUUGUGCAGAGCUUUUUACUUCCCCG
rnacentral:lncRNA from 1 species